GCCUGUAAUAUUUCUCUCCCCUCUCCCUUUGUAAAACCCUAAAACCCACAACCUUCAUUGAGCGCACACUCUCUCUCUUUGACUCCAUCGCCCUUUCUUCACCCUUCCCUUUCUCUCUCCUCUCACAUUUUAAUUUCUCCAUCCCAGAACGAUUGUGCUUAAUACGGGCGCUUAAUACGGGAUCGGCUUUUGGAGCAUACUUUAAGUUUUGGAUCGAUUUUUGGAGCAUACUACUCCAAUACUCCGUCGGUCCCCGCUCAGCACUUCUCUAAGACGAGCAUGAAGGGAUGGAGAACUCAGGAUGAUGAGUUUCGAAUGUACUUUUUCUUGGUGAUCUAUGUUCGUAUAAGGAGCGGAGUGCAUAUGGGGCAGGAGUGCCGCUUUUGCUUAAUGGAAGCCUGGGCUGAAGCAACAUUAGUUCACAUAGCUUCUGUAGUACAGAGGUACUUAUCGCAUUUUGGAUUGGGCUGACAUAACCAAUGCUUAUAUAUCAGGGACUGAGAUUGUGGAUGGACUGAAGUUAAAGGUAUGAUUGACUUUCUAAACUGGUAGGCUUUUAUGUCUUAAUCAGAAAUCACGUUUCCUUCUGAAUUUCAGGGCUUGCCUCGCGGUAGGGGUCUUUUGUUGUUGGCUGAAAUGAGUUCUGCUGCUAACUAAGAACUUCCCUUACAUUUGUUUAUUGGUUGGGUUUUAAGAAGAAAAGGUGCCAUAAGAGAAAUCAAAAUAUCAAAUCAAAUUCUCCAAAUAAAGUUGAUAAACCAAUUGAAGGCUUACGUUUAGUGGCAGAGAUCAGGAAACUUGCAUGUUCCUUUGGUUAUUUUCUGUUGUUCAAAAUUACAUAGCUUUGUUUUUUGAACAAGCUCAUUACUAAGUUGUCUUGCUUUGGUUGUGUUGGCCACCCGAACAAGAAAAGAAUGCCAGAGUAUAUAAGUUAUGCUUCGCAAUUGUAUACUGUAUUUACAUGCCUCUGAUGGGUUGAUUUCUGUCAUGCAUAAUACACAACUGGAAAAUCAAGGUGGUAAUUGCUAUUUGUAUAAUUUUAAAAGUAAGUUUUUUCUCAAAACACUAUACCCUUAGUUCAUUUUAUUAUAUAAUACUCUGUAUAUUCUUACUUCAAUAUGAAUAAUAAAGUUUUGAACAUUUUUCUUGCA